CGAAAAUACUCGCGCAUAUCGAGAUGAACAACAGCGUAAUGCUGCGGUGCAUCCUUGUAACGCAUGCAACAGAGUUAGCAAUGCAGCGCUUCCACCGGCUUUUCAACCCAAAAUGCAACGUGAUUGGCAUGAUACACGUCGGUGCUUUACCAGGAACACCAAAUUACAGGGGGUCUGUUUCAGAGAUUACUGAAAAUGCUUGUAAAGAUGCAGAAAUAUAUAAGAAGUGUGAAGUUGAUGGUGUAUUGAUUGAAAAUAUGCAUGAUGUUCCAUAUGUUCAACCAAGAGAUAUGGAACCAGAAACAGUUUCUUUACUGUCAUGUAUCAGCAUGCAGAUUAGAAAUAUUCUGCCACCAACCAUACAGUGUGGAGUACAGGUACUGGCUGGAGGAAACAAAGAAGCCAUAGCCAUCAGCCUUGCUGCUGGGUUACAAUUCAUCCGAGCUGAAGGAUUUGUCUUCAGCCAUAUAGCUGAUGAAGGGUUUACAGAUGCCAGUGCUGGCACACUGCUCAGAUACCGCAAAAAGCUUUCAGCAGAUCAAGUUUUGAUAUUUGCAGACGUGAAGAAGAAGCACAGUGCUCAUGCAAUAACAGCAGAUAUAAGUCUUGAUGAGACUAUUAAAGCAGCAGAAUUUUUCAUGUCUGAUGGUGUCAUCAUAACAGGUUCUGCUACUGGAGAACCAGUUGAUGAUGAUCACUUUAAAGCUGCAAAGCAGUCGGCAAAAGGCCCAGUGUUAAUUGGCUCUGGAGUAACAGAUGAAAAUGUUAAGAAAUAUAUGAACUCUGAUGGAUUGAUUGUUGGUUCACAUUUCAAGAAAGACGGAAGCUUAGAAGGCUGAAUGGAGUUUCACAACAUCAGAAAAGACAUAGAACUGUCAAAGGGAAAAAAAAAAGAACUUUUUUCAUGGAUCAAAGACUUUUACACUUCCUUAAAAUGGAUGUACAGGUGGCAGAAUGCUGUUGAUCCAGAACGAGUGCAAAGAUUCAUGGAGAAAAUAAAGCAGUACCAAUGAUGACUACACUAUUAUAAAAAGAGCUGUCUCAUAAUCACUGAACAUUAUAUUUCCGUGUUAUACAUGUGAA